rnacentral:rRNA from 1 species
UGGGGAAUAUUGCACAAUGGGCGAAAGCCUGAUGCAGCAACGCCGCGUGAGUGAUGACGGUCUUCGGAUUGUAAAGCUCUGUCUUUGGGGACGAUAAUGACGGUACCCAAGGAAGAAGCCACGGCUAACUACGUGCCAGCAGCCGCGGUAAUACGUAGGUGGCAAGCGUUGUCCGGAUUUACUGGGCGUAAAGGGUGCGUAGGCGGACCUUUAAGCGAGAUGUGAAAUCCCCGAGCUUAACUUGGGGGCUGCAUUUCAAACUGGAGGUCUAGAGUGCAGGAGAGGAGAGUGGAAUUCCUAGUGUAGCGGUGAAAUGCGUAGAGAUUAGGAAGGACACCAGUGGCGAAGGCGACUCUCUGGACUGUAACUGACGCUGAGGCACGAAAGCGUGGGGAGCAAACAG